UAUUUCACUUACGCUGCAAUUUACAAUUUGUUUGCCACAAUUAAAUUAAAAAAAUGCAGCAAAUCUAUUAUUUCAGAAAAAAAUAAUCAUUAAUUCAUUUACCACCCUCCCCAUGCCAGCGCUGAAUCUCAAAAACCUACUCUUUAUCUCCCAAGCUCGCCAUAUGCCGCUGCCAAAGAAGACAACCGGCGAGAAUCCGAUGUUGCUGCACCUCUAAGUCACGUACACCGUUGUUUCAUUCUUCUCUUUAAUCGUGGUUGCUUCUCCUCCUUUCUACUGUUUUGAGAUGAAAAGGGAUUUGAGGAUGCUUGAUUACCAGGAUUUCAUCGGCAAACUCUACAAUUAGAUUUUGGGGUGGGUCGAGAUUGAUUUUUUUUGCUGAUUCUACUACUCUUGAAGGAAAUUCUACUGUUGUUCCUCUGCUGGAUGUGUUGCCAUCGGUUUUUUAAACUCCAAGGGAGAGGCCCUUUACCAAAAAGGAGUUGGAUGAAGUUCGAGACAAGUGGGCUACUUACUUCAACGAUUGUGAACUACCCUCACUGUAAUAAAUAGAGAAGGCUUGUAGUUAUUCGUGACUCAUACAUUACUUUGUUAUUUAUCGAUUUAAUUAAUUACAUUUGAAUUAAUUCGGUAAUAUUAUUGGAAAUUUGAAAUUUAUAUCAUUUUUGAGAAUGUCAAGCUGAUGUUUGAUGAAACAGAAAUUAUAUUGCAAAAUCAGAUAUUAUAUUGCAAAAUAUUAGGAAUUAUAUUGCAGAUUUUUU